rnacentral:rRNA from 1 species
UUAAGCGACUAAGCGUACACGGUGGAUGCCCUGGCAGUCAGAGGCGAUGAAGGACGUGCUAAUCUGCGAUAAGCGUCGGUAAGGUGAUAUGAACCGUUAUAACCGGCGAUUUCCGAAUGGGGAAACCCAGUGUGAUUUGUCACACUAUCAUUAACUGAAUCCAUAGGUUAAUGAGGCGAACCGGGGGAACUGAAACAUCUAAGUACCCCGAGGAAAAGAAAUCAACCGAGAUUCCCCCAGUAGCGGCGAGCGAACGGGGAGGAGCCCAGAGCCUGAAUCAGUGUGUGUGUUAGUGGAAGCGUCUGGAAAGGCGCGCGAUACAGGGUGACAGCCCCGUACACAAAAAUGCACAUGCUGUGAGCUCGAUGAGUAGGGCGGGACACGUGGUAUCCUGUCUGAAUAUGGGGGGACCAUCCUCCAAGGCUAAAUACUCCUGACUGACCGAUAGUGAACCAGUACCGUGAGGGAAAGGCGAAAAGAACCCCGGCGAGGGGAGUGAAAAAGAACCUGAAACCGUGUACGUACAAGCAGUGGGAGCACGCUUCGGCGUGUGACUGCGUACCUUUUGUAUAAUGGGUCAGCGACUUAUAUUCUGUAGCAAGGUUAACCGAAUAGGGGAGCCGAAGGGAAACCGAGUCUUAACUGGGCGUUAAGUUGCAGGGUAUAGACCCGAAACCCGGUGAUCUAGCCAUGGGCAGGUUGAAGGUUGGGUAACACUAACUGGAGGACCGAACCGACUAAUGUUGAAAAAUUAGCGGAUGACUUGUGGCUGGGGGUGAAAGGCCAAUCAAACCGGGAGAUAGCUGGUUCUCCCCGAAAGCUAUUUAGGUAGCGCCUCGUGAAUUCAUCUCCGGGGGUAGAGCACUGUUUCGGCAAGGGGGUCAUCCCGACUUACCAACCCGAUGCAAACUGCGAAUACCGGAGAAUGUUAUCACGGGAGACACACGGCGGGUGCUAACGUCCGUCGUGAAGAGGGAAACAACCCAGACCGCCAGCUAAGGUCCCAAAGUCAUGGUUAAGUGGGAAACGAUGUGGGAAGGCCCAGACAGCCAGGAUGUUGGCUUAGAAGCAGCCAUCAUUUAAAGAAAGCGUAAUAGCUCACUGGUCGAGUCGGCCUGCGCGGAAGAUGUAACGGGGCUAAACCAUGCACCGAAGCUGCGGCAGCGACACUAUGUGUUGUUGGGUAGGGGAGCGUUCUGUAAGCCUGUGAAGGUGGCCUGUGAGGGUUGCUGGAGGUAUCAGAAGUGCGAAUGCUGACAUAAGUAACGAUAAAGCGGGUGAAAAGCCCGCUCGCCGGAAGACCAAGGGUUCCUGUCCAACGUUAAUCGGGGCAGGGUGAGUCGACCCCUAAGGCGAGGCCGAAAGGCGUAGUCGAUGGGAAACAGGUUAAUAUUCCUGUACUUGGUGUUACUGCGAAGGGGGGACGGAGAAGGCUAUGUUGGCCGGGCGACGGUUGUCCCGGUUUAAGCGUGUAGGCUGAUUUUCGGGCAAAUCCGGAAAAUCAAGGCUGAGGCGUGAUGACGAGGCACUACGGUGCUGAAGCAACAAAUGCCCUGCUUCGGAAAAGCCUCUAAGCAUCAGGUAACAUCAAAUCGUACCCCAAACCGACACAGGUGGUCAGGUAGAGAAUACCAAGGCGCUUGAGAGAACUCGGGUGAAGGAACUAGGCAAAAUGGUGCCGUAACUUCGGGAGAAGGCACGCUGAUAUGUAGGUGAAGCGACUUGCUCGUGGAGCUGAAAUCAGUCGAAGAUACCAGCUGGCUGCAACUGUUUAUUAAAAACACAGCACUGUGCAAACACGAAAGUGGACGUAUACGGUGUGACGCCUGCCCGGUGCCGGAAGGUUAAUUGAUGGGGUUAGCGGUAACGCGAAGCUCUUGAUCGAAGCCCCGGUAAACGGCGGCCGUAACUAUAACGGUCCUAAGGUAGCGAAAUUCCUUGUCGGGUAAGUUCCGACCUGCACGAAUGGCGUAAUGAUGGCGGGCUGUCUCCACCCGAGACUCAGUGAAAUUGAACUCGCUGUGAAGAUGCAGUGUACCCGCGGCAAGACGGAAAGACCCCGUGAACCUUUACUAUAGCUUGACACUGAACAUUGAGCCUUGAUGUGUAGGAUAGGUGGGAGGCUUUGAAGUGUGGACGCCAGUCUGCAUGGAGCCGACCUUGAAAUACCACCCUUUAAUGUUUGAUGUUCUAACGUUGACCCGUGAUCCGGGUUGCGGACAGUGUCUGGUGGGUAGUUUGACUGGGGCGGUCUCCUCCUAAAGAGUAACGGAGGAGCACGAAGGUUGGCUAAUCCUGGUCGGACAUCAGGAGGUUAGUGCAAUGGCAUAAGCCAGCUUGACUGCGAGCGUGACGGCGCGAGCAGGUGCGAAAGCAGGUCAUAGUGAUCCGGUGGUUCUGAAUGGAAGGGCCAUCGCUCAACGGAUAAAAGGUACUCCGGGGAUAACAGGCUGAUACCGCCCAAGAGUUCAUAUCGACGGCGGUGUUUGGCACCUCGAUGUCGGCUCAUCACAUCCUGGGGCUGAAGUAGGUCCCAAGGGUAUGGCUGUUCGCCAUUUAAAGUGGUACGCGAGCUGGGUUUAGAACGUCGUGAGACAGUUCGGUCCCUAUCUGCCGUGGGCGCUGGAGAACUGAGGGGGGCUGCUCCUAGUACGAGAGGACCGGAGUGGACGCAUCACUGGUGUUCGGGUUGUCAUGCCAAUGGCACUGCCCGGUAGCUAAAUGCGGAAGAGAUAAGUGCUGAAAGCAUCUAAGCACGAAACUUGCCCCGAGAUGAGUUCUCCCUGACUCCUUGAGAGUCCUGAAGGAACGUUGAAGACGACGACGUUGAUAGGCCGGGUGUGUAAGCGCAGCGAUGCGUUGAGCUAACCGGUACUAAUGAACCGUGAGGCUUAACCU